ACGCUAUAUGUAUGACUCCCUGAUCAAAGGUCACUUUAUAGACGCUAUAUGUAUGACUCCCUGAUCAAAGGUCACUUUAUAGAAGCUAUAUGUACGACUCCCUGAUCAAAGGUCACUUUAUAGAAGCUAUAUGUACGACUCCCUGAUCAAAGGUCACUUUAUAGAAGCUAUAUGUACGACUCCCUGAUCAAAGGUCACUUUAUAGAAGCUAUAUGUACGACUCCCUGAUCAAAGGUCACUUUAUAGAAGCUAUAUGUACGACUCCCUGAUCAAAGGUCACUUUAUAGACGCUAUAUGUACGACUCCCUGAUCAAAGGUCACUUUAUAGACGCUAUAUGUAUGACUCCCUGAUCAAAGGUCACUUUAUAGAAGCUAUAUGUAUGACUCCCUGAUCAAAGGUCACUUUAUAGACGCUAUAUGUAUGACUCCCUGAUCAAAGGUCACUUUAUAGACGCUAUAUGUAUGACUCCCUGAUCAAAGGUCACUUUAUAGAAGCUAUAUGUAUGACUCCCUGAUCAAAGGUCACUUUAUAGAAGCUAUAUGUACGACUCCCUGAUCAAAGGUCACUUUAUAGAAGCUAUAUGUACGACUCCCUGAUCAAAGGUCACUUUAUAGAAGCUAUAUGUACGACUCCCUGAUCAAAGGUCACUUUAUAGAAGCUAUAUGUACGACUCCCUGAUCAAAGGUCACUUUAUAGAAGCUAUAU